UUAAAAAUGUCUCAAGCUUUUGUACAAAUUUUUUUGUUAACAUGCUUUACAGCAUGUAUAAUAAACUCGGUUUAUUCACAAGAAUGUACCGAGGACAUUUGUAAUAAUUGCCCGCAAUUUAGGUGCAUAAGUGGGUCAAUUUUGGUCCCUAAUACACUUUGUGGCUGUUGUCCAAGCUGUGUUCUUCCACAGGCUGGAGAUUCCUGCUACGAGUCAGCUGAUGGCAGCUCACUAACCUGCGGAUCAAGCCUUGAAUGCUGCGAGGAUGAAGUGUGUAAUACGACCUGCUAAUUUAUAUAAAAUACAUGUGUUAAUCUAAUAAAGAUGUAUGUAAAAAUA